rnacentral:rRNA from 1 species
CUCGUAGGCGGCCAACUAAGUCAGACGUGAAAUCCCUCGGCUUAACCGGGGAACUGCGUCUGAUACUGGAUGGCUUGAGUUCGGGAGAGGGAUGCGGAAUUCCAGGUGUAGCGGUGAAAUGCGUAGAUAUCUGGAGGAACACCGGUGGCGAAGGCGGCAUCCUGGACCGAUACUGACGCUGAGGGGCGAAAGCCAGGGGAGCAAACG